UAAGGAAUAUUGGUCAAUGGGCGCAAGCCUGAACCAGCCAUGCCGCGUGCAGGAUGACGGCCCUAUGGGUUGUAAACUGCUUUUGUACGGGAAAAAACCCUUUUACGUGUAAGAGGUUGAUGGUACCGUAAGAAUAAGGAUCGGCUAACUCCGUGCCAGCAGCCGCGGUAAUACGGAGGAUCCAAGCGUUAUCCGGAUUUAUUGGGUUUAAAGGGUGCGUAGGCGGCUUAUUAAGUCAGUGGUGAAAGCCUGGAGCUUAACUCCAGAACUGCCAUUGAUACUGAUGAGCUUGAGUACAGUUGAGGUGGGCGGAAUGUGUCAUGUAGCGGUGAAAUGCUUAGAUAUGACACAGAACACCAAUUGCGAAGGCAGCUCGCUAAACUGUAACUGACGCUGAGGCACGAAAGCGUGGGUAGCAAACAG
rnacentral:rRNA from 1 species